UACAGGCAUUUCACUGCGCAGACUGGAGCCAGACAGUCCCUGUGUCAAGAACAGUUGGCAUUUCAUCUGCUUUGCUUUGAGAAUGAAUUCAGAUGCCUAUCCCGAGAAGAAUCUGCAUCUGUGUUCAAGAGGGCAACCACUGUAAAGCCAACCUGCGGAGAGCCGUCCGCCUCACACACAUGUCCAGGAUGUACCGACAUCACUGUGGAUCAUCAUCAUGGAGAGCCAGCUGCAGCGGUUUGACCCUUGGGGUCCUGAUGACUGGGCCCUGAUUGACUCUGAGACAUAGCAGGGGCAGUGGUGAAGACUUACUCCAGACAAAAUAGAAAGAGAGAUUUGAGAACUAUAGGACAUAAAAACAUCUCUCCAAUAUACAGUGCUGUAUCAUUAGAAGACAUUUCAUUUUUUGUUCAAGUAAAUCGACGGUUGAAUUACAUUUUUUCCCCAAAAUGAAAGCAUAGACUGCUUCCUGGGACUGAUACUUUACUCUAAUAUAUUCAUAUUUUAAA